UACGUAGGGUGCGAGCGUUAAUCGGAAUUACUGGGCGUAAAGCGUGCGCAGGCGCUUCGUCGUGUCCGAUGUGAAAGCCCCGGGCUCAACCUGGGAAUGGCAUUGGAAACUGGCGGACUCGAGUGUGGCAGAGGGGGGUGGAAUUCCGCGUGUAGCAGUGAAAUGCGUAGAGAUGCGGAGGAACACCGAUGGCGAAGGCAGCCCCCUGGGCUAACACUGACGCUCAGGCACGAAAGCGUGGGGAGCAAACAGG
rnacentral:rRNA from 1 species